GGCUUGAUGGUGUAAUGGUAACAUGCUCUGUGUUGUUUCACAGCAUUUGUAUAUCGCAAAACAGACAGUUCAGAGUUCGAUUCUCUGUCAAGCCA